rnacentral:tRNA from 1 species
CCGCCGGAUAGCUUAGCUGGUAGAGCGAUGCCACUCGUCGGCAUAAACGCUGGUUCGAACCCAGCUCGGAGGA